UACGAAGGGGGCAAGCGUUGUUCGGAAUUACUGGGCGUAAAGGGCGCGUAGGCGGCCGAUCAAGUCAGGCGUGAAAUUCCCGGGCUCAACCUGGGGGCUGCGCUUGAUACUGGAUGGCUUGAAUCCGGGAGAGGGAUGCAGAAUUCCAGGUGCAGCGGUGAAAUGCGUAGAUAUCUGGAGGAAUACCGGUGGCGAAGGCGGCAUCCUGGACCGGCAUUGACGCUGAGGAGCGAAAGCCAGGGGAGCAAACGGG
rnacentral:rRNA from 1 species